UACGUAGGGUGCGAGCGUUAUUCGGAAUUACUGGGCGUAAAGCGUGCGCAGGCGGUUCGUUGUGUCGGUGGUGAAAUCCCCGGGCUUAACCUGGGAAUGGCCAUGGAAACUGGCGAACUGGAGUGUGGCAGAGGGGGGUGGAAUUCCGCGUGUAGCAGUGAAAUGCGUAGAGAUGCGGAGGAACACCGAUGGCGAAGGCAGCCCCCUGGGCUAGCACUGACGCUCAGGCACGAAAGCGUGGGGAGCAAACAGG
rnacentral:rRNA from 1 species